CGUGCUAGGUACUUGACAUCUGCUUUCUCAUUCGACUCCCAAACGGAAUCUCUAAGGUGGGUAUUAUUGACCUACUUUACAAUGUAAGAAAAUUGAGGUUCGAAGAGCUUAAUUAAGUUCCCCAGAGUCCCAUCUCUACUGCCAAGUCCCAAAGCCUUUUCCACUCUGACACAUGUUCUGCCCUGGGGAGGCCUCAGUUCCUUGCUCUGGGUUCCAGAGUUCUAGAACCAAAUCUGAGGAGGCCAUUCCAGCCAACGGAGCCUCAGAGUCCUGUCAAAAAUAGUACCUGCCCUGCCUUGGUCUGGGGAAGCUGGAUCGUGGUGAGAUCUGCAAGAAGGGAAACUGUGAGGAGUUUCUUGGAUGGAAGAAAUUAUUAUUUCACACAGUGUAGGCUAUUCAAGAAGUAAAGACAUUGUGCCUGCUUAGGAUGGGACUGGGGGGCUUGCACUGUGGCUAGAGAGACACAAAACCGCCAAGGCAGUGGAGUAGGAAGGGUUAAGAUGCAGGGAGGGCUUCCUAGGGAGACGACCCUUCCCUCCCCUUGCACCUCACACCUCUCCUCUGAAACAGACACCCUGUUCCCAUCCUUCUCUCCCUGAUGUGACAUCUUACCUGUCUCUCCUACCCCAACAAUCUGAGAUCCAGAGAGCAGACUCCAGCCUUCACUGCUUGGGUACCCCAGUACUCAGCCUGGGACCUGCCCAGGCAGAGUAGGGGCUCAGCAAACAUUUGGGGGAAUUACUGAAUCAAAAGCAAGACUUCCUCUCCCAGUCCCUCUACUUCCCUCCCACCAAGGAAGAGGUAUGUUUGGGGUAGGGGCCCGGCAGGAUAUGCACAUUCCUGGCAAGAAGCGACCUACCUGCCUACAGCCAGAAACGAAGGUUUUGGCUCUAAAGGCAGAGGAAGGGGGCUGGGGGUGUCCAGGUGUGAGGAGGGUCCCUACACGGAAAGGGACAGGAGCAGGUCCCUUUGUAAGUGGUACCCGUUGCAAGUGCUCUGGCCCUGGCGUUCUCCAGCACUGGGGGGUCAGGUCUUUCUCUCCCCAGGGCUCAGGGUUCCCCAACUCUGUAACUCCUGGGAAACCUGCCCAGGACAGGGAGAAGCACAGAAAACCCCACCCAGGCGCCCAGCCCUUAGUGCCAGGAGAGGUUACCACGGUCUCCCAAACUUAGUAGCAAGGCUGGAGCCAGGAUAAAGUGGGUCCUGAGGGUCCCCCAGGAGAGAUUCAGCACUCACCCUGGCCCUGGGUGUGGAGGCUGGGAGGAGGCAACCACAAAGCCACCUCUUCCCCUUGCCACUUUGCCCCACUGACUAGAGUGUGAGUGACUCCCCCAACUCAGUUUUCAGAGAGUCUGAGAUUGAAAGCGCACCAUGGGAGCCAACAAUUGUCCAGGUAUCAAGAGCAGAGCCUCAGUAUCCUCCCUCCAGCCACCAGGUAACAGAGCCCCAAAACCCUGAGGCAAAAGUUUCUCAAGUUGAAAAAAAAAAAAAAAAA
rnacentral:lncRNA from 1 species